GACGAACGCUGGCGGCGUGCUUAACACAUGCAAGUCGAGCGGAAAGGCCACUUCGGUGGUACUCGAGCGGCGAACGGGUGAGUAACACGUGAGUAAUCUGCCCCUGGCUUUGGGAUAGCCACCGGAAACGGUGAUUAAUACCGGAUACGACCACUUCUCGCAUGGGAUGGUGGUGGAAAGUUUUUUCGGCCAGGGAUGUGCUCGCGGCCUAUCAGCUUGAUGGUGAGGUAAUGGCUCACCAUGGCUUCGACGGGCAGCCGGCCUGAGAGGGUGACCGGUCACACUGGGACUGAGACACGGCCCAGACUCCUACGGGAGGCAGCAGUGGGGAAUAUUGGACAAUGGGCGGAAGCCUGAUCCAGCAGCGCCGCGUGAGGGAUGACGGCCUUCGGGUUGUAAACCUCUUUCAGCAGGGACGAAGCGCAAGUGACGGUACCUGCAGAAGAAGCACCGGCCAACUACGUGCCAGCAGCCGCGGUAA
rnacentral:rRNA from 1 species